AACCCACCAAUUUGUAAGUCGCUCUGGAUAAGAGCGUCUGCUAAAUGACGUAAA
rfam:Salmo salar isolate Sally breed double haploid chromosome ssa03, whole genome shotgun sequence.